rnacentral:rRNA from 1 species
GUAGGUGGCAAGCGUUGUCCGGAAUUAUUGGGCGUAAAGCGCGCGCAGGUGGGUUCUUUAAGUCUGAUGUGAAAGCCCCCGGGCUCAACCGGGGAGGGUCAUUGGAAACUGGGGAACUUGAGUGCAGGAGAGGAAAGUGGAAUUCCACGUGUGGCGGUGAAAUGCGUAGAUAUGUGGAGGAACACCAGUGGCGAAGGCGACUUUCUGGCCUGUAACUGACACUGAGGCGCGAAAGCGUGGGGAGCAAACAGGAUUAGAUACCCUGGUAGUCCACGCCGUAAACGAUGAGUGCUAAGUGUUGGGGGGUUUCCGCCCCUCAGUGCUGCAGCUAACGCAUUAAGCACUCCGCCUGGGGAGUACGGUCGCAAGACUG